CAGUCGCCGCGGUAAUACGUAGGGUGCAAGCGUUAAUCGGAAUUACUGGGCGUAAAGCGUGCGCAGGCGGUUUUGUAAGACAGGCGUGAAAUCCCCGGGCUCAACCUGGGAAUGGCGCUUGUGACUGCAAAGCUAGAGUGCGGCAGAGGGGGAUGGAAUUCCGCGUGUAGCAGUGAAAUGCGUAGAUAUGCGGAGGAACACCGAUGGCGAAGGCAAUCCCCUGGGCCUGCACUGACGCUCAUGCACGAAAGCGUGGGGAGCAAACAGGAUUAGAUACCCGGGUAGUCCCUGUCUCUUAUAC
rnacentral:rRNA from 1 species